AAUGAACGCUGGCGGCGCGCCUAAUACAUGCAAGUCGAGCGAGAAGACGUAGCAAUACGUUUGUAAAGCGGCGAACGGGUGAGGAAUACAUGGGUAACCUACCCUCGAGUGGGGAAUAACUAGCCGAAGGUUAGCUAAUACCGCGUACGCUCCUUGGACUUCGGUUCAGGGAGGAAAGCGAUACCGUGGGUAUCGCGCUCUUGGUUGGGCUCAUGUCCUAUCAGCUUGUUGGNGAGGUAACGGCUCACCAAGGCUUCGACGGGUAGCUGGUCUGAGAGGACGAUCAGCCACACUGGCACUGCGACACGGGCCAGACUCCUACGGGAGGCAGCAGUAAGGAAUAUUGCGCAAGUGGGCGAAAGCCUGACGCAGCGACGCCGCGGUGGGGGA
rnacentral:rRNA from 1 species